rnacentral:pre_miRNA from 1 species
UUCUCAACCAACUUUGGCCACUUUUCAACUGCCAUUCACAGAAGUGGGCAAAGUUGGUUGAGAAGU